GGGGUUGGUAAAAGUUAAUUAAAACACAACAAGCUUUCUCAAACUCAGGGCUCUCUUUGUCUUUCUCCUCUUGUCUCAGUGGAAUAAGUAACUGCUGCUGUAAUUACCUUCAGGGCAGUCACUCUGAGCAUUCCUUCAGGUGCCAAGAAAGUCUCCCUUAAGACAACAUAGUCUGAUUAUUUAGAGCGUGUGUUUAAGAAAUGAAAAGUUGAUAUUUUAGCAUAUGACACAAUCAAGUGAUGUUGAGCGUAUAUCAACACAGCCUUUUACAUACACUAAGGGGAUAAAUGAAAUAAAAGCGGAUGAAUAAAUAGAGGAAAAGAAAGAGGAAUGGAAAUGGGGAGACAGGGGGAAGGGCAACAGAGAGAUGAGCUACAAAUGAGAGCGAUGGCGGUGGCAGGUUGGCACAGUGCCAUCCAGUCAGGACUUGAGCGGGGGCGGGCAUGGGCACGGGCGAAGGGGCGAAGAGAAUAAGAAUGGAGGAGAAACAGACCUCCAUGCUACUACCAUGGUGCCACCUUGGCAUGGGCACAAUCCGGCGAAACAGAACGAGCAGAGUCGGAUAAUACAGGAAAUGUCAAAGGACGGCAAUGCACAGAAGAGAGCAAGAUUCUAGCAAACAGAGGAUGACUCAGAUGUAAAUGGAUGACGAGACACAUACAAGACUAUUGAAGAUUUGAAUGGUGGAUAUCGCGGAACCGUAAGAUCAAAUUCAAUAACAUCAUUGAUUAUACAAAGACGGAUGUUAGAAGAAAAUUUUGCGUUUCUUCCUGAUCUUCUUUUUCUUUAUGCCCGCCACUGUGUGCCAGCCAGCGGGCACUAUGCCAGUCUGCAUUCGUGGCAUGCCUAAAGCAAUCUACGCAUUCAGCGGAGAACUGUUGUAGUGGAAGACAAGGACACGACUCACCUCCGAGGAUUUGCUGCUAGUCACUGUUUGUUUGCUCGAACAAAGCAAAAAAGACGGUGCCAAGGCAACGGUUGCCAGUGAUUCUGUGAUGGCAUCAUUUCAGGGGCGGCAAAGGGGCAUGGAAAGGAAGAUGGCAAGAUGCCAAGCCAAUAUAACACACAUUUGCAAACAGAAACCUCCAUACGGUGAGCGGAAGAUUCUGGAUGCCGAAAAUGUUUUGGCGAUGUCAACCUCUCAUGGGAGACGCCAGAAACAGAUGGCAUCGUGCCAAGCGCAAACAUGGGGGCAUUCGCGGAUGCCACCAUGAACUGUACAAAAGCGUGAGAAUUGUGGACAAAAAAGUAAAACAGAAGGUUGGAACUAGAACUACAAAUACAGCUGUUGUAGGAGCCUGGCGUCUAAAAAAUUCUCAUUGCAAACUCUACCAAGUGCUAACUGCUGCACUGGAGGGAAGCUGCUGCCCAUUAAAAAAAAAACAGAGAAGGGAUUGUACCAUUCCACGUAGAGAGAAGGAGAAGAGAAAGAAGGAGCAGAAUGAAUGAGGAUACAGAAAAGAAGGAGAAAUUUUGUGCUUAACGAAGAUCAGUGGGAGUGGGUGGACAAGGAUGAUGAAGAGCCUCUCUCCUGCACAUGCACACCUGGGAUGUUCUUAAAGGGAUAUCCCCUCAAAGGAAGAGAUAUGUUGGCAUCAUCUCUGGAGUGUCAAGCGGUGUUUCUCUAUUGCCAGUCAAGGAGGGUGCUGCAGUCAUCAGGGGCGGGCAACUGUCUGGGCAUCUCAUCUGCAGCUAAUUAACAACCACACACUAAUUCUAACAGCCGAUCAUAAUUAGCGAUUUAAUCGCUCGUCAACGCUUUUCUCCCCCCUUAAAUUGUGCCUCCUAUUUGGACACGUGCGGAUAAGCUAAGGAACGCUGGAUCUCCCUCCCCUCCUCCUCGUCCUUCUUUCCUUCAUCCUUGGCUCCAGACUCCAGUGGGAUCUUAAUUAAGCCUGGGCUUCAUUAUGCAAAUGGAGUACAAUAAACGACAGCAGAGGUGGAGCGGGAUCCAGACUGAAAUGGAACGGUGGGAGGGGUUGGACUGGAAGUGGAAAAUGAAGAUAUGUGAAAGGUUACCAAAUCACCUAUAUGAUGUUGUUGUGUUAUGAAAAUUGUAUAUUGUUUAAUCAUUUAUGUCUUUAAUGUAACUCUUUCGCAUUUGAAGGUGGAAUCCACACUCCUCGCUGUGAUACUGCAUCUCUGUUGCCAUUUGGAAACUUCUCUGAAAUAACAGUGGAUAUGCAGAAUGUCAUCUCUCACAAAGCAAAAUUCAUAAGGGAAUGGUGACAAUAAACCCUGUAAUAUCACCAGUUGGACGUUGUCGUGGAUACGAAGAAAGAUAGGGGAGAUAGGGAGAGAGAAAGGAGGCAGACAGAAACACUGACAGUGGCAGCAGCAUGGCAGCUAAUGUCAUCUCAGUUUAAUCAUCGCAUGGGAUCAUGGGGUUCAUGAAAAUUCAUUUGCAUAUCAUUAAAUGGAGAGAGGUUAUUUGGUGCGGGCGGCCAAAAUGGGAUUGGAUGAAGCAAGGAAAAAAAGGCAAAUGGAGGGGCUCGUUAUUAAACAGCUAUGUUUUAUAGUCCGCCAGCCGAUUCAUUUAAUUUGGGCGUAAUUAAAAUGUGUCAGACUCAAUCAAUCAUUCGAACAGGGAUACUAUCAAUGUUUCAGUCUGAAAAAAGACUAAUCAGUGGAUAUGUGGUCAGACAUUUUCCAAUAACAGUCUGAGUGCUUUAGUCUACUGUGGGCUUGACCCAUCCUCUUUUUUGCGUUUGGAUGUGAAGGAGUUUAUCAAAACAUCCAUUUUGACUUCUAUGUAUCAUGUUAAGACAUAUCUCUCUGACAAGUGGUGAUGCCAGCCCAUGUUAAGCAAUAAGAGGAUGGCUCACUCUGUCUUUUCGACCUUAGUGGUAAGCCGUUGGUGGUGUGUAUGUAUGUGCAUGCAUACGUGCAAAUCUUAUUUGCAUAAGUGAUGUAAUUAGACCGCCCUUUCACAUGUAGAUCAGUUUGACAACAUGGCAAUCACUGCAACACACACACACACGCAGACACACACGCGCAGGCAUACACAGAUGAUAACACACGCUUGCUGCCGUGACCACCCCCAUAUCAUGGGGAGUCUGUUGUCUGUGAGCAGAGAGUGUAAAGAUUAACAUAAUCCAGCUAAUAAGUGUGAGUAAUAUUCACACAGUGACGCGUGGCGUAGACACUGUCCUGCUGAUGCGUAUUUGUAUCUCAUUAUAGAUGUAAAGUACUGACGGGGGGCCAACAGGGGUGUGCCCACAUGGAUGGGGGAUGGUGGGGGGUCAACAAACUGAUGUAGGCCCAAAUGGAGAAACACCAAAAAACUAGAAAGAGAAGAUCUUCUACAAAGUAGUAGAUCAUAUCCUUUUUUUAGAAAUUUCUAUGAAGAGAAUAAAUUAUAUGAAGAUAAAAUAAGCAGGAUAACUUAUCACUUAGGUAUUGCAGUUCAGAUUGAGUAGUCUUUCUAACAUUUCCAUAAGAUCAAAAAGACAAUUCCAGUGUUUUUAUACAUUACUAUGAGGGCACAGAGUGUCAUCUUUUGCAGCAGAAUGUAGGAAUUAUAAAUAGAGUGUAUUUGCACUUGCAGGCUAGCUCUACCAAAUGAUUGAUUAGGAUGGUGUGACGACCAUUAAAAAGUCAUUUAAAAGAUGGAUAGGGACCACAUUUCCAAAUAAAAACCACUUUAUACCUGAUGAAGUGCUGAACAAACUCUUCUUCAAAGACAUUUACUGAUUACUCUCGGCGUUUCAGUGAGUGUAAUGUGGGAAGCACCAAUGUACUAUGUGCAGCUCUGCAUCAGCUGCAAAUGAUACAGAACCAAUCCUUAUGAAAUGGUGCAGCAAUAGAUGGAGCAUUUCACAUAUUUAAAGCUCAAAAGAUCAGAAUUUCAGAUUACAAGAUGUAGUACGAUAUUCAUUUGAAUUGUUUAGUAAUCUGUUUGCAUAUAGACAAACCACAAACUAAUUGAAAAGUAUCUUGUAGUUUAGUGUCUUUAUCCGUAGGAGCUUUACCCAAAGACACAGAGCUGUGUCUAAAGAUGCGAAUGUAUUUCAGCUCUGUCUCUUUAACUCGGGGCUCCACCACAGCAGCAUGCGUUGGGAUUCAUGCAUAAACAUGAGCUGGCCUUUCAGCUCUCUCCUCACAUAACCAAUCUAAAUCUAAAUGAGCCCCCACUACAGAUACACCAGCAGGCAAUGACAUUACACCCCCCCACCACCACCCCAACCCAACCCCCUACUCUACCCUACUACCCCCAGCGACACAUAUACACCAGCAGGCAAUAAUUUCACGCCAUCCCUCAAAGCCCCCUCCACCUCCACUGCACACACACUCGUACCCCUUUUUGCCGCAACCCCACCAGCUGCACAGUACUCAUUUGAUUAAGAGGGGGAGGACAGGGAGAAGGAGAAAUGGUGGGGGAUCACUUUAUCAGGAUGACUUUCUAAGAUGGCUAUCAUAAGCUGAAAAGCUAUCUCAAGCAGCUUUUGUGUGAAGUUUGCUGUUGUCUCUCUAUGUAUCCAAUUGCCUGUUUCCUGCAACUCCAAUCAGAACUGUUUUACCAAAAGCUCUGUUCUGUUUUUAAAAAAAAAACAUUUUCUAAUGUUUUUUUGGUGUAGCUGGUGGAAAACAAGGUACAGAUACGGUUUGCCCUUAAGACCUUGAAUGAGCAACACCUUUUUAUUCCUUAGUUUUUUGCUCAUCUCAUCAACCACUUUUAAGUUUUACACUAAAUGAACAAAAUAAUAAAAACUGCUUUACCAACUGA
rnacentral:lncRNA from 1 species